rnacentral:lncRNA from 1 species
AUAUCAUCAGUAGCACCGGUUACCCGUGCAUCCCCUGCUCAGGCUAACAUGGUCGCGCCUUUCACCGGCCUCAAGUCCAUCGCAUCAUUCCCCGUCACCCGAAAGCUUGAGAAUGACAUUACCUCUAUUACCAGCAACGGAGGAAGAGUUCAAUGCAUGAAGGUAUAUAUCUAUACUACUUAAUACUCAGAUAUAUUAUGUGCUAAUGAGGAACCAGUAUAACAUGGCAGAACAUUUCUUAGUUAGUUAUUGCUCAUUUGCUCUCAAAGUAGCACAAUUCUAAGUCAGAUAAAGCAGUCCUAGGUAACUUUAGAGUGAGUAACUUCAGAAUUUUCCUUGAAUAUGUCAAUAAUAUACAAAAAUUAUGUCAACACCUCGAUUAAAAGAUUGUUUUGCUUGUAUUUUCCUCCUGAGCUGAUCUGAGAAAUUUUGUUCUCAAGUCAAACAAUUAGAGACUUUAGCUCAAGAGAAAUGUCACCCCCUGGCAUUGUAGCCUGCGGGAUGUCCUCUAUAUUUUACCAUAGUAACCAUGUCGCCCCUCAAGUGAAGUAGAAUUUAAUUCAAUAAUGAAAUUGAACUACCCAGUAGAGGAAAUUUCUAGUUUUUUUGUAUAAUUUCCACCUUAGCUUGCUCUUAGUAACCCCCCUCAGUCUCAUUAAAUAGUCGGAAAUGUAUAUUCUUAUGAAGACAUGAUCACGUUCUUCAAAUUUUGCAAUCCAACACUGUUUCUAGACAAAUAUACAAUCUGUCGGUUUGUAAUUGAGUAAAUAUGACAUUCACAAAAUAUAUCAAGGAGAACACACCUUGGUUCUGAAAGUGAAUGAUAAAUUAGUUAGGUAACAUAUGUGAAUGGUGCAAGUGCAGGUAUGGCCACCAAUUAACAUGAAGAAGUUCGAGACACUCUCAUACCUUCCUCCUCUCACCACCGAACAAUUGGCAAAGGAGGUCGACUACCUUCUCCGUUCCGGAUGGGUUCCUUGUCUGGAAUUCGAGUUGGAGGUAAGCACUUUCUUCCUACACAUUUUUCAUGUUCUCUGUUACAUGUUUCUUGACAUUGCUGAUGACAAUUGUGUGUUAAACCAAUAUGCAGCACGGUUUCGUGUACCGUGAGCACAACAAAUCUCCCGGAUACUAUGACGGACGAUACUGGGUUAUGUGGAAGCUUCCCAUGUUCGGGUGCACCGACUCAUCGCAGGUGUUGAAGGAGCUUGAUGAGUGCGUCAAGGAGUACCCCCAGGCGUACGUCCGUAUCAUCGGAUUCGACAACGUUCGCCAAGUCCAGUGCAUCAGUUUCAUUGCUCACCAGCCAGAAUGCUGAUCAAUCUGUCUGUUGAUUUCAUAUAUUUAUCAAUCUUGUUCGGCUCAUAUAUAAACUUCUUGCAAUCUCAUUUCAUUUCUUUCCGUUUUAAAUUUCUUACUUGUAUCUCCAACACAAGGAAAUUGGAACUAUAGAGGAUUAUAUGUAGCGAUUGUUGGUGAUUAUAUAUAUCUACUUGUUUGUUUUCCCUGCACCUUCUAAAUACUUGCAUCAUAUGCUUUCAUGUCGUGAUGUACUUUUUUAUAUAUCUCCGAUUCUCCAUGCAGUAAUUAACCACUACGGUCUUUUUACACCAACAAAUUAUAUGAUAACAUAUAGAAACAGUUCAUUGCUUCCGUAAUAUCUGCCUUGGUACAUGUUCUCUUGUAUCACUACAAAACCUUUCACGUCCAACAAUGUGAAAGCAAAUUCUCUGUAAUAGAAAUGGACAUCUGCUAGCGACAUUUCAGAUAAUAAUAAAGUGUACUUAUGCACCAUCUGGUUGGAAGGAAUGAACGGGAAAAACAUGAACAAAAUCAAAGGUAAACGAGAAGUAUACAAGAGUGAAGAGUGAUGAAGAACUAGAAAGUGCAGACUUUAUUAUGAGUUUCACAAUAUAAUGAGUAAAAUAUAGGAAUGAUCAUUUAUCCCUAUAUUGGUAAGAUUGAGAUAUUAGUUUUUUUUUGUGUGCCAAACUAGUACAAAUUUCAUUUCAUUCUCCCUAAACGUAAUUCUUCCAACAAAAUGGGGCAUUACAUAAAGGUAUAAAGAUGAGGAGAUUAAAGAUUGACAGCUGCGAUAAGGGAAGGUAUGGAAAACAUGUGUAACUAUAUAAAUGUCGAACACCAAUAAGAUCCAAAUAACUCAGAUAACAUCCAAACUCAGUAACAAAUUGGUUAACAGAUAAAAUUCAGAAGCGAAUGCAAAAUAGUUUAUAAAAUUAGAUUCUAAGAUUCAAAAUUUCUAGUAUUCAGAUUAUAUGCAGAUGAAAGAGGAAGGGAGAUUUAUUGAAUAAUUUAGGCUUGACAAAACACAAUAAAAUGAUACACAUAGACUAGUAUACUCUAAUACUUAAUGAGCAGCAUAUAUUCUUAUUCUUAACUACCGUCUAUUCUAUUAUAUCAAAGAAACAUAAAUUAUUGCAAAGCUGUAAAUUCACAUUAAGAAGCUUAAACAAAUUACACAACUAGAAAUCAACCACUCAAAUUGGAUAUAAUUGGAUAAAUAUCUAAAGAGAUCAUAACUAAGAACCCUAAUUUCAAAGUUAUAAAUGUAUGUAUAUAAAUGAUUCAAAAAUCAGAACUCUGUAACACAAAAAAGCUAGCUGAACUGAGAUGAAGUAGAAAGCAGCAACAAAACAUUUAUGAAUUAAAUAUCUAAAGCUGAUCUAAUUACAAACAUCAACUCACAGUUAUCAAGAGGGGUGUAUUGGAUUGGGAUUUUAAAUCAUUUUUUUGCAUUCAUGAAAUCCGAGGGUAUUCGAUUGAGAUUAUUUGAAAUGCAUUAAAAUCUUGGGGUAUUCAAUUGGGAUUUUGAAUUAUGCUACAAAAUCUGGUGGUAUUCAAUUGGGAUUUUAAAUUAUGCUUUAAAAUCCGGUGGUAUUCAAUUCGGAUUGUUUAAAAUCCAUUAAAAUCUGAUGGUAUUCAAAUGUUGUCGGAUUUUUUUUCAUUUCAUAAAAUGGUGGAUUUUGUGGCAUUGUUCGAUGUAUUUUAAGUUUUAUGAAAUCCCACCAAAAUCAAUGGGAUUUUGAAGCAUUGUGCUUAAAUCCUAUCAACUCUGCGACAUUUCAUCAAGAAUCCGCACAAAAUCAAAAUCACAUGCAAUCCAUUAAAAUCCAUAGACUAAAAACAAUCCAUUAAAAUCUCAAUCGAAUACACCCCCGCAAUUUAUUAAUCAGAUGAGAGGAAGGAAGGGAGAGGGUCAGAGGGAGAGGGAGAGGGAGAGAGAGAGAGAGAGAGGAGUUACAGUGCUACGGCGACGUUCAGCGGCGAUGGAGAAGCCAAAAGCGACCAAGCAUAGUAUUAUUACAAGAAGAUGAACGAGAGAUGAGCCUUUCCCUGCCCCCAUUAUUGUUUCUAAGGGCAUCUUUGAUCACAAUUUCAAGCUUCAUAUUUUUUUCACUUUUAAUUUUAUAGAUAGAUUAAUCAAUCUCCAAUCAUCCAUUUAUCUUCCUAUGUAAAGUCAUUUACUAGAUAAAUUAUAUUAUUUUAUAAAAAAAAAUUAAAUAACGAAAUAUAUGAUCUUUCUCGGAUGAAGAUAACUUGCAAAUUUAAUGGUAUAGUUUAGAAAUUGGGGUUGAGAAGUACCAGUAGUUAUGCUAUAUUUACCUGAUGAUCUCGUAUCGUAACUUUUUUUACACGUGGGAUUUUUUUGCUUACAGCUCAUACUCUAUAACACACUUCCGCCAUUUCACAUGUGACUUCAUCUUUUGACCAGGGUUCUGUAAAUAGAAUUUUGAGCAAGAUCCCCUUAAUACAUAACUGAAUAAACAACACUCGUAGAGAUGAAUUCUGCUGGCGGAACUAGGGAAGAAACCCUAGCUUAGUCAAAGUUUUUUUUUUCUUCCAGAUAUUUGUUUUUUUUCAGAUAUUUUUUUAUUUGAGCUCUUAAAAAUAACAGUGAACCAAUAAAAAGUAUUUAUUGUGCAAAUUUUAAUUCUAGAUUAUUUUGAUUCAUGUCAUAUUGUCAUUGACUAACAGGCCAAAGUCAUUUUGUUAAUGGGCUCUAUUUUCUUGACCAAAAUCAUACUGUUUCCCCUACUAUUAUCCUGAGCCCAUGUUUUCAAAUUUCAAUUACGCCCAACCACCAGUCCAGAGUAGUUGUUGUUGGGCCACAAGGUAACCAUCCAAUGUCUAAACUAAUCAUAGUCCAAAUAAAAUUUUUUCAUAAAAACUGCGUGUACGUGAAUCCAGGGCAGAGGACUGAACAUGACUCCACUUGAGUUGAGCAAGAAAACCGCAAUCAUAUAUCUUUGAUUUUUAAAAUUGAAAACCGCAACCGUCAAUCGGGGUCGGUUUCGGUUUCGGUUUAAGAAACUUCGAUUCGGUUAAUAGUCGGCUCGGUUUCGAUUACAAAAUCGACAAAUAUAAGAAUGAAAAAUAGUACACAAACGAGACAAAUUAAUGCACGUAAUCUAGACAUAAUAAUUAAUAUAAUAUUAAAAUUUAACAAAAGUAACCGUAUUUUAUUUAAAACACUCUUGCCAGUAAUAUAAAACUAGUCUUAGUCAGAAUUUUCAUACAGAAUACGAAUCAGAACUUCCGGCUGAUUGGCUUUUUUAACACAUGCUUCAUGAAGAUUGAGAAAAUGUGACAGGGAAAAUAGGAAAUACAGAUUGGCAGUGGCCAGUCAGCAUGAGAUAUUCACUGAACAUCAAAUAUUAACAUAGACGGAUGUUUCUGUAAGUGUUAGAAUAGAUUUAUUAUAUUUAUUACAUAUUACAUAUAUUAUUUAUUAUUAUUUUAAUAACCGGUUCCGUUUGGUUUUUAUUGGUUCGGUUGGGAGGUAUAACCGGAACCAAACCGUUUAAAUCAGAUCAAUUUUUAAUUUUUCGGUUUCUAAUUGGUUUUUUUGAGUUUUUCCAAAUUUCGAUUCGUUUUGAUUUUAAAUCGGUUUUUUGCUAAGUCCUAAAUUAAGGUAUGGGUUCAAUUAUAGACAAGGUUAAGCUUACUUUUUAAAAAGUCUAACAUCACAAGUAAAUGGUUCACAAGUAAAUGGUCUUAAAACUAUAAAGAAACCAGGAUUGAAGCUCAAAAAUUAUCACCACUACACCCUUUUUUCGUGGUGCAACAAAUUUGGCCUAAAUCAAACGCAAAUCAAACGCAUUUAUACAAGACAAAUGACAGUCUUAAUAUAGGAUUACCCCAUUUUGGUUCAACCAUGAACACUGUUUGAACUAUGCGAUAGUUUCUUUACUAAAAUAUACUUCAGACUCUGGAACUGGAAGGACUAUGGGCCACUUAAAUGCAGCAUAUAUCUUGCAAUUUGAGCUCGAUAAUGGCAAAUUCCAAAUGCAAUCUAUCCACACAUUACACUCAAGUGCGAAAGAAUGAUCCAUGUAUUUUAAGGGUUUUGGUUCCUGGCAUGUGUACAUCAGGGAGUACUUAUAUAACAUACUGAUUUUGGAUCGUUGGAUGAUAUAUGCAUCUAACGGACAUAAUUAUAAAAAAAAUUCGUCAUGCUCAAUUUUUUUUUAUUUGUUUUUUUGCAUAUGAUAUGUAACUUGAAUAAUAAGAGGAAGGGGGAAAGUGAUGCAACUGCAAUUGAAGAAGUCAGUAGUCACUUAUUUAAAUUUCAAAGUACAAAGCCCAAAUAAGCAAUUUCCAAAGAGCUAAGCAAUGAAGGGCCAAGAAAUGGCUAGCUACUGCUAAAGAAAGCAAGUCCUCAUUCCUUGAUCAGAAGAGAUAAGGCAACCGCUCUCAUGCCACGUGUCAACUCAAUAAGAGUGUUUAAUGAUAAGGCAACCAAUCCAAAUUGCUCACACUGUGUGGCUACCAUGUUGCCUUGUCAACUUCACUGUAAUUCAAUGGUCAGAAAAAUUCUGAACUUUAGGAGGUGAAUUGGGAACCAUUGGAUCAGCAGGUUAAACGAUAAUGAGAUGAAAUGCCUAUAUAUUGGAUAGGUGAAGGAACAGAAGCAAGCCUCUCAAACACAAGAGAAGAAAGUAAAAGAACAAGAAGAGAGUAUUAGUACUCAUGGCUUCUUCAAUGAUAUCAUCAGUAGCACCGGUUACCCGUGCAUCCCCUGCUCAGGCUAACAUGGUCGCGCCUUUCACCGGCCUCAAGUCCAUCGCAUCAUUCCCCGUCACCCGAAAGCUUGAGAAUGACAUUACCUCUAUUACCAGCAACGGAGGAAGAGUUCAAUGCAUGAAGGUAUAUAUCUAUACUACUUAAUACUCAGAUAUAUUAUGUGCUAAUGAGGAACCAGUAUAACAUGGCAGAACAUUUCUUAGUUAGUUAUUGCUCAUUUGCUCUCAAAGUAGCACAAUUCUAAGUCAGAUAAAGCAGUCCUAGGUAACUUUAGAGUGAGUAACUUCAGAAUUUUCCUUGAAUAUGUCAAUAAUAUACAAAAAUUAUGUCAACACCUCGAUUAAAAGAUUGUUUUGCUUGUAUUUUCCUCCUGAGCUGAUCUGAGAAAUUUUGUUCUCAAGUCAAACAAUUAGAGACUUUAGCUCAAGAGAAAUGUCACCCCCUGGCAUUGUAGCCUGCGGGAUGUCCUCUAUAUUUUACCAUAGUAACCAUGUCGCCCCUCAAGUGAAGUAGAAUUUAAUUCAAUAAUGAAAUUGAACUACCCAGUAGAGGAAAUUUCUAGUUUUUUUGUAUAAUUUCCACCUUAGCUUGCUCUUAGUAACCCCCCUCAGUCUCAUUAAAUAGUCGGAAAUGUAUAUUCUUAUGAAGACAUGAUCACGUUCUUCAAAUUUUGCAAUCCAACACUGUUUCUAGACAAAUAUACAAUCUGUCGGUUUGUAAUUGAGUAAAUAUGACAUUCACAAAAUAUAUCAAGGAGAACACACCUUGGUUCUGAAAGUGAAUGAUAAAUUAGUUAGGUAACAUAUGUGAAUGGUGCAAGUGCAGGUAUGGCCACCAAUUAACAUGAAGAAGUUCGAGACACUCUCAUACCUUCCUCCUCUCACCACCGAACAAUUGGCAAAGGAGGUCGACUACCUUCUCCGUUCCGGAUGGGUUCCUUGUCUGGAAUUCGAGUUGGAGGUAAGCACUUUCUUCCUACACAUUUUUCAUGUUCUCUGUUACAUGUUUCUUGACAUUGCUGAUGACAAUUGUGUGUUAAACCAAUAUGCAGCACGGUUUCGUGUACCGUGAGCACAACAAAUCUCCCGGAUACUAUGACGGACGAUACUGGGUUAUGUGGAAGCUUCCCAUGUUCGGGUGCACCGACUCAUCGCAGGUGUUGAAGGAGCUUGAUGAGUGCGUCAAGGAGUACCCCCAGGCGUACGUCCGUAUCAUCGGAUUCGACAACGUUCGCCAAGUCCAGUGCAUCAGUUUCAUUGCUCACCAGCCAGAAUGCUGAUCAAUCUGUCUGUUGAUUUCAUAUAUUUAUCAAUCUUGUUCGGCUCAUAUAUAAACUUCUUGCAAUCUCAUUUCAUUUCUUUCCGUUUUAAAUUUCUUACUUGUAUCUCCAACACAAGGAAAUUGGAACUAUAGAGGAUUAUAUGUAGCGAUUGUUGGUGAUUAUAUAUAUCUACUUGUUUGUUUUCCCUGCACCUUCUAAAUACUUGCAUCAUAUGCUUUCAUGUCGUGAUGUACUUUUUUAUAUAUCUCCGAUUCUCCAUGCAGUAAUUAACCACUACGGUCUUUUUACACCAACAAAUUAUAUGAUAACAUAUAGAAACAGUUCAUUGCUUCCGUAAUAUCUGCCUUGGUACAUGUUCUCUUGUAUCACUACAAAACCUUUCACGUCCAACAAUGUGAAAGCAAAUUCUCUGUAAUAGAAAUGGACAUCUGCUAGCGACAUUUCAGAUAAUAAUAAAGUGUACUUAUGCACCAUCUGGUUGGAAGGAAUGAACGGGAAAAACAUGAACAAAAUCAAAGGUAAACGAGAAGUAUACAAGAGUGAAGAGUGAUGAAGAACUAGAAAGUGCAGACUUUAUUAUGAGUUUCACAAUAUAAUGAGUAAAAUAUAGGAAUGAUCAUUUAUCCCUAUAUUGGUAAGAUUGAGAUAUUAGUUUUUUUUUGUGUGCCAAACUAGUACAAAUUUCAUUUCAUUCUCCCUAAACGUAAUUCUUCCAACAAAAUGGGGCAUUACAUAAAGGUAUAAAGAUGAGGAGAUUAAAGAUUGACAGCUGCGAUAAGGGAAGGUAUGGAAAACAUGUGUAACUAUAUAAAUGUCGAACACCAAUAAGAUCCAAAUAACUCAGAUAACAUCCAAACUCAGUAACAAAUUGGUUAACAGAUAAAAUUCAGAAGCGAAUGCAAAAUAGUUUAUAAAAUUAGAUUCUAAGAUUCAAAAUUUCUAGUAUUCAGAUUAUAUGCAGAUGAAAGAGGAAGGGAGAUUUAUUGAAUAAUUUAGGCUUGACAAAACACAAUAAAAUGAUACACAUAGACUAGUAUACUCUAAUACUUAAUGAGCAGCAUAUAUUCUUAUUCUUAACUACCGUCUAUUCUAUUAUAUCAAAGAAACAUAAAUUAUUGCAAAGCUGUAAAUUCACAUUAAGAAGCUUAAACAAAUUACACAACUAGAAAUCAACCACUCAAAUUGGAUAUAAUUGGAUAAAUAUCUAAAGAGAUCAUAACUAAGAACCCUAAUUUCAAAGUUAUAAAUGUAUGUAUAUAAAUGAUUCAAAAAUCAGAACUCUGUAACACAAAAAAGCUAGCUGAACUGAGAUGAAGUAGAAAGCAGCAACAAAACAUUUAUGAAUUAAAUAUCUAAAGCUGAUCUAAUUACAAACAUCAACUCACAGUUAUCAAGAGGGGUGUAUUGGAUUGGGAUUUUAAAUCAUUUUUUUGCAUUCAUGAAAUCCGAGGGUAUUCGAUUGAGAUUAUUUGAAAUGCAUUAAAAUCUUGGGGUAUUCAAUUGGGAUUUUGAAUUAUGCUACAAAAUCUGGUGGUAUUCAAUUGGGAUUUUAAAUUAUGCUUUAAAAUCCGGUGGUAUUCAAUUCGGAUUGUUUAAAAUCCAUUAAAAUCUGAUGGUAUUCAAAUGUUGUCGGAUUUUUUUUCAUUUCAUAAAAUGGUGGAUUUUGUGGCAUUGUUCGAUGUAUUUUAAGUUUUAUGAAAUCCCACCAAAAUCAAUGGGAUUUUGAAGCAUUGUGCUUAAAUCCUAUCAACUCUGCGACAUUUCAUCAAGAAUCCGCACAAAAUCAAAAUCACAUGCAAUCCAUUAAAAUCCAUAGACUAAAAACAAUCCAUUAAAAUCUCAAUCGAAUACACCCCCGCAAUUUAUUAAUCAGAUGAGAGGAAGGAAGGGAGAGGGUCAGAGGGAGAGGGAGAGGGAGAGAGAGAGAGAGAGAGGAGUUACAGUGCUACGGCGACGUUCAGCGGCGAUGGAGAAGCCAAAAGCGACCAAGCAUAGUAUUAUUACAAGAAGAUGAACGAGAGAUGAGCCUUUCCCUGCCCCCAUUAUUGUUUCUAAGGGCAUCUUUGAUCACAAUUUCAAGCUUCAUAUUUUUUUCACUUUUAAUUUUAUAGAUAGAUUAAUCAAUCUCCAAUCAUCCAUUUAUCUUCCUAUGUAAAGUCAUUUACUAGAUAAAUUAUAUUAUUUUAUAAAAAAAAAUUAAAUAACGAAAUAUAUGAUCUUUCUCGGAUGAAGAUAACUUGCAAAUUUAAUGGUAUAGUUUAGAAAUUGGGGUUGAGAAGUACCAGUAGUUAUGCUAUAUUUACCUGAUGAUCUCGUAUCGUAACUUUUUUUACACGUGGGAUUUUUUUGCUUACAGCUCAUACUCUAUAACACACUUCCGCCAUUUCACAUGUGACUUCAUCUUUUGACCAGGGUUCUGUAAAUAGAAUUUUGAGCAAGAUCCCCUUAAUACAUAACUGAAUAAACAACACUCGUAGAGAUGAAUUCUGCUGGCGGAACUAGGGAAGAAACCCUAGCUUAGUCAAAGUUUUUUUUUUCUUCCAGAUAUUUGUUUUUUUUCAGAUAUUUUUUUAUUUGAGCUCUUAAAAAUAACAGUGAACCAAUAAAAAGUAUUUAUUGUGCAAAUUUUAAUUCUAGAUUAUUUUGAUUCAUGUCAUAUUGUCAUUGACUAACAGGCCAAAGUCAUUUUGUUAAUGGGCUCUAUUUUCUUGACCAAAAUCAUACUGUUUCCCCUACUAUUAUCCUGAGCCCAUGUUUUCAAAUUUCAAUUACGCCCAACCACCAGUCCAGAGUAGUUGUUGUUGGGCCACAAGGUAACCAUCCAAUGUCUAAACUAAUCAUAGUCCAAAUAAAAUUUUUUCAUAAAAACUGCGUGUACGUGAAUCCAGGGCAGAGGACUGAACAUGACUCCACUUGAGUUGAGCAAGAAAACCGCAAUCAUAUAUCUUUGAUUUUUAAAAUUGAAAACCGCAACCGUCAAUCGGGGUCGGUUUCGGUUUCGGUUUAAGAAACUUCGAUUCGGUUAAUAGUCGGCUCGGUUUCGAUUACAAAAUCGACAAAUAUAAGAAUGAAAAAUAGUACACAAACGAGACAAAUUAAUGCACGUAAUCUAGACAUAAUAAUUAAUAUAAUAUUAAAAUUUAACAAAAGUAACCGUAUUUUAUUUAAAACACUCUUGCCAGUAAUAUAAAACUAGUCUUAGUCAGAAUUUUCAUACAGAAUACGAAUCAGAACUUCCGGCUGAUUGGCUUUUUUAACACAUGCUUCAUGAAGAUUGAGAAAAUGUGACAGGGAAAAUAGGAAAUACAGAUUGGCAGUGGCCAGUCAGCAUGAGAUAUUCACUGAACAUCAAAUAUUAACAUAGACGGAUGUUUCUGUAAGUGUUAGAAUAGAUUUAUUAUAUUUAUUACAUAUUACAUAUAUUAUUUAUUAUUAUUUUAAUAACCGGUUCCGUUUGGUUUUUAUUGGUUCGGUUGGGAGGUAUAACCGGAACCAAACCGUUUAAAUCAGAUCAAUUUUUAAUUUUUCGGUUUCUAAUUGGUUUUUUUGAGUUUUUCCAAAUUUCGAUUCGUUUUGAUUUUAAAUCGGUUUUUUGCUAAGUCCUAAAUUAAGGUAUGGGUUCAAUUAUAGACAAGGUUAAGCUUACUUUUUAAAAAGUCUAACAUCACAAGUAAAUGGUUCACAAGUAAAUGGUCUUAAAACUAUAAAGAAACCAGGAUUGAAGCUCAAAAAUUAUCACCACUACACCCUUUUUUCGUGGUGCAACAAAUUUGGCCUAAAUCAAACGCAAAUCAAACGCAUUUAUACAAGACAAAUGACAGUCUUAAUAUAGGAUUACCCCAUUUUGGUUCAACCAUGAACACUGUUUGAACUAUGCGAUAGUUUCUUUACUAAAAUAUACUUCAGACUCUGGAACUGGAAGGACUAUGGGCCACUUAAAUGCAGCAUAUAUCUUGCAAUUUGAGCUCGAUAAUGGCAAAUUCCAAAUGCAAUCUAUCCACACAUUACACUCAAGUGCGAAAGAAUGAUCCAUGUAUUUUAAGGGUUUUGGUUCCUGGCAUGUGUACAUCAGGGAGUACUUAUAUAACAUACUGAUUUUGGAUCGUUGGAUGAUAUAUGCAUCUAACGGACAUAAUUAUAAAAAAAAUUCGUCAUGCUCAAUUUUUUUUUAUUUGUUUUUUUGCAUAUGAUAUGUAACUUGAAUAAUAAGAGGAAGGGGGAAAGUGAUGCAACUGCAAUUGAAGAAGUCAGUAGUCACUUAUUUAAAUUUCAAAGUACAAAGCCCAAAUAAGCAAUUUCCAAAGAGCUAAGCAAUGAAGGGCCAAGAAAUGGCUAGCUACUGCUAAAGAAAGCAAGUCCUCAUUCCUUGAUCAGAAGAGAUAAGGCAACCGCUCUCAUGCCACGUGUCAACUCAAUAAGAGUGUUUAAUGAUAAGGCAACCAAUCCAAAUUGCUCACACUGUGUGGCUACCAUGUUGCCUUGUCAACUUCACUGUAAUUCAAUGGUCAGAAAAAUUCUGAACUUUAGGAGGUGAAUUGGGAACCAUUGGAUCAGCAGGUUAAACGAUAAUGAGAUGAAAUGCCUAUAUAUUGGAUAGGUGAAGGAACAGAAGCAAGCCUCUCAAACACAAGAGAAGAAAGUAAAAGAACAAGAAGAGAGUAUUAGUACUCAUGGCUUCUUCAAUGAUAUCAUCAGUAGCACCGGUUACCCGUGCAUCCCCUGCUCAGGCUAACAUGGUCGCGCCUUUCACCGGCCUCAAGUCCAUCGCAUCAUUCCCCGUCACCCGAAAGCUUGAGAAUGACAUUACCUCUAUUACCAGCAACGGAGGAAGAGUUCAAUGCAUGAAGGUAUAUAUCUAUACUACUUAAUACUCAGAUAUAUUAUGUGCUAAUGAGGAACCAGUAUAACAUGGCAGAACAUUUCUUAGUUAGUUAUUGCUCAUUUGCUCUCAAAGUAGCACAAUUCUAAGUCAGAUAAAGCAGUCCUAGGUAACUUUAGAGUGAGUAACUUCAGAAUUUUCCUUGAAUAUGUCAAUAAUAUACAAAAAUUAUGUCAACACCUCGAUUAAAAGAUUGUUUUGCUUGUAUUUUCCUCCUGAGCUGAUCUGAGAAAUUUUGUUCUCAAGUCAAACAAUUAGAGACUUUAGCUCAAGAGAAAUGUCACCCCCUGGCAUUGUAGCCUGCGGGAUGUCCUCUAUAUUUUACCAUAGUAACCAUGUCGCCCCUCAAGUGAAGUAGAAUUUAAUUCAAUAAUGAAAUUGAACUACCCAGUAGAGGAAAUUUCUAGUUUUUUUGUAUAAUUUCCACCUUAGCUUGCUCUUAGUAACCCCCCUCAGUCUCAUUAAAUAGUCGGAAAUGUAUAUUCUUAUGAAGACAUGAUCACGUUCUUCAAAUUUUGCAAUCCAACACUGUUUCUAGACAAAUAUACAAUCUGUCGGUUUGUAAUUGAGUAAAUAUGACAUUCACAAAAUAUAUCAAGGAGAACACACCUUGGUUCUGAAAGUGAAUGAUAAAUUAGUUAGGUAACAUAUGUGAAUGGUGCAAGUGCAGGUAUGGCCACCAAUUAACAUGAAGAAGUUCGAGACACUCUCAUACCUUCCUCCUCUCACCACCGAACAAUUGGCAAAGGAGGUCGACUACCUUCUCCGUUCCGGAUGGGUUCCUUGUCUGGAAUUCGAGUUGGAGGUAAGCACUUUCUUCCUACACAUUUUUCAUGUUCUCUGUUACAUGUUUCUUGACAUUGCUGAUGACAAUUGUGUGUUAAACCAAUAUGCAGCACGGUUUCGUGUACCGUGAGCACAACAAAUCUCCCGGAUACUAUGACGGACGAUACUGGGUUAUGUGGAAGCUUCCCAUGUUCGGGUGCACCGACUCAUCGCAGGUGUUGAAGGAGCUUGAUGAGUGCGUCAAGGAGUACCCCCAGGCGUACGUCCGUAUCAUCGGAUUCGACAACGUUCGCCAAGUCCAGUGCAUCAGUUUCAUUGCUCACCAGCCAGAAUGCUGAUCAAUCUGUCUGUUGAUUUCAUAUAUUUAUCAAUCUUGUUCGGCUCAUAUAUAAACUUCUUGCAAUCUCAUUUCAUUUCUUUCCGUUUUAAAUUUCUUACUUGUAUCUCCAACACAAGGAAAUUGGAACUAUAGAGGAUUAUAUGUAGCGAUUGUUGGUGAUUAUAUAUAUCUACUUGUUUGUUUUCCCUGCACCUUCUAAAUACUUGCAUCAUAUGCUUUCAUGUCGUGAUGUACUUUUUUAUAUAUCUCCGAUUCUCCAUGCAGUAAUUAACCACUACGGUCUUUUUACACCAACAAAUUAUAUGAUAACAUAUAGAAACAGUUCAUUGCUUCCGUAAUAUCUGCCUUGGUACAUGUUCUCUUGUAUCACUACAAAACCUUUCACGUCCAACAAUGUGAAAGCAAAUUCUCUGUAAUAGAAAUGGACAUCUGCUAGCGACAUUUCAGAUAAUAAUAAAGUGUACUUAUGCACCAUCUGGUUGGAAGGAAUGAACGGGAAAAACAUGAACAAAAUCAAAGGUAAACGAGAAGUAUACAAGAGUGAAGAGUGAUGAAGAACUAGAAAGUGCAGACUUUAUUAUGAGUUUCACAAUAUAAUGAGUAAAAUAUAGGAAUGAUCAUUUAUCCCUAUAUUGGUAAGAUUGAGAUAUUAGUUUUUUUUUGUGUGCCAAACUAGUACAAAUUUCAUUUCAUUCUCCCUAAACGUAAUUCUUCCAACAAAAUGGGGCAUUACAUAAAGGUAUAAAGAUGAGGAGAUUAAAGAUUGACAGCUGCGAUAAGGGAAGGUAUGGAAAACAUGUGUAACUAUAUAAAUGUCGAACACCAAUAAGAUCCAAAUAACUCAGAUAACAUCCAAACUCAGUAACAAAUUGGUUAACAGAUAAAAUUCAGAAGCGAAUGCAAAAUAGUUUAUAAAAUUAGAUUCUAAGAUUCAAAAUUUCUAGUAUUCAGAUUAUAUGCAGAUGAAAGAGGAAGGGAGAUUUAUUGAAUAAUUUAGGCUUGACAAAACACAAUAAAAUGAUACACAUAGACUAGUAUACUCUAAUACUUAAUGAGCAGCAUAUAUUCUUAUUCUUAACUACCGUCUAUUCUAUUAUAUCAAAGAAACAUAAAUUAUUGCAAAGCUGUAAAUUCACAUUAAGAAGCUUAAACAAAUUACACAACUAGAAAUCAACCACUCAAAUUGGAUAUAAUUGGAUAAAUAUCUAAAGAGAUCAUAACUAAGAACCCUAAUUUCAAAGUUAUAAAUGUAUGUAUAUAAAUGAUUCAAAAAUCAGAACUCUGUAACACAAAAAAGCUAGCUGAACUGAGAUGAAGUAGAAAGCAGCAACAAAACAUUUAUGAAUUAAAUAUCUAAAGCUGAUCUAAUUACAAACAUCAACUCACAGUUAUCAAGAGGGGUGUAUUGGAUUGGGAUUUUAAAUCAUUUUUUUGCAUUCAUGAAAUCCGAGGGUAUUCGAUUGAGAUUAUUUGAAAUGCAUUAAAAUCUUGGGGUAUUCAAUUGGGAUUUUGAAUUAUGCUACAAAAUCUGGUGGUAUUCAAUUGGGAUUUUAAAUUAUGCUUUAAAAUCCGGUGGUAUUCAAUUCGGAUUGUUUAAAAUCCAUUAAAAUCUGAUGGUAUUCAAAUGUUGUCGGAUUUUUUUUCAUUUCAUAAAAUGGUGGAUUUUGUGGCAUUGUUCGAUGUAUUUUAAGUUUUAUGAAAUCCCACCAAAAUCAAUGGGAUUUUGAAGCAUUGUGCUUAAAUCCUAUCAACUCUGCGACAUUUCAUCAAGAAUCCGCACAAAAUCAAAAUCACAUGCAAUCCAUUAAAAUCCAUAGACUAAAAACAAUCCAUUAAAAUCUCAAUCGAAUACACCCCCGCAAUUUAUUAAUCAGAUGAGAGGAAGGAAGGGAGAGGGUCAGAGGGAGAGGGAGAGGGAGAGAGAGAGAGAGAGAGGAGUUACAGUGCUACGGCGACGUUCAGCGGCGAUGGAGAAGCCAAAAGCGACCAAGCAUAGUAUUAUUACAAGAAGAUGAACGAGAGAUGAGCCUUUCCCUGCCCCCAUUAUUGUUUCUAAGGGCAUCUUUGAUCACAAUUUCAAGCUUCAUAUUUUUUUCACUUUUAAUUUUAUAGAUAGAUUAAUCAAUCUCCAAUCAUCCAUUUAUCUUCCUAUGUAAAGUCAUUUACUAGAUAAAUUAUAUUAUUUUAUAAAAAAAAAUUAAAUAACGAAAUAUAUGAUCUUUCUCGGAUGAAGAUAACUUGCAAAUUUAAUGGUAUAGUUUAGAAAUUGGGGUUGAGAAGUACCAGUAGUUAUGCUAUAUUUACCUGAUGAUCUCGUAUCGUAACUUUUUUUACACGUGGGAUUUUUUUGCUUACAGCUCAUACUCUAUAACACACUUCCGCCAUUUCACAUGUGACUUCAUCUUUUGACCAGGGUUCUGUAAAUAGAAUUUUGAGCAAGAUCCCCUUAAUACAUAACUGAAUAAACAACACUCGUAGAGAUGAAUUCUGCUGGCGGAACUAGGGAAGAAACCCUAGCUUAGUCAAAGUUUUUUUUUUCUUCCAGAUAUUUGUUUUUUUUCAGAUAUUUUUUUAUUUGAGCUCUUAAAAAUAACAGUGAACCAAUAAAAAGUAUUUAUUGUGCAAAUUUUAAUUCUAGAUUAUUUUGAUUCAUGUCAUAUUGUCAUUGACUAACAGGCCAAAGUCAUUUUGUUAAUGGGCUCUAUUUUCUUGACCAAAAUCAUACUGUUUCCCCUACUAUUAUCCUGAGCCCAUGUUUUCAAAUUUCAAUUACGCCCAACCACCAGUCCAGAGUAGUUGUUGUUGGGCCACAAGGUAACCAUCCAAUGUCUAAACUAAUCAUAGUCCAAAUAAAAUUUUUUCAUAAAAACUGCGUGUACGUGAAUCCAGGGCAGAGGACUGAACAUGACUCCACUUGAGUUGAGCAAGAAAACCGCAAUCAUAUAUCUUUGAUUUUUAAAAUUGAAAACCGCAACCGUCAAUCGGGGUCGGUUUCGGUUUCGGUUUAAGAAACUUCGAUUCGGUUAAUAGUCGGCUCGGUUUCGAUUACAAAAUCGACAAAUAUAAGAAUGAAAAAUAGUACACAAACGAGACAAAUUAAUGCACGUAAUCUAGACAUAAUAAUUAAUAUAAUAUUAAAAUUUAACAAAAGUAACCGUAUUUUAUUUAAAACACUCUUGCCAGUAAUAUAAAACUAGUCUUAGUCAGAAUUUUCAUACAGAAUACGAAUCAGAACUUCCGGCUGAUUGGCUUUUUUAACACAUGCUUCAUGAAGAUUGAGAAAAUGUGACAGGGAAAAUAGGAAAUACAGAUUGGCAGUGGCCAGUCAGCAUGAGAUAUUCACUGAACAUCAAAUAUUAACAUAGACGGAUGUUUCUGUAAGUGUUAGAAUAGAUUUAUUAUAUUUAUUACAUAUUACAUAUAUUAUUUAUUAUUAUUUUAAUAACCGGUUCCGUUUGGUUUUUAUUGGUUCGGUUGGGAGGUAUAACCGGAACCAAACCGUUUAAAUCAGAUCAAUUUUUAAUUUUUCGGUUUCUAAUUGGUUUUUUUGAGUUUUUCCAAAUUUCGAUUCGUUUUGAUUUUAAAUCGGUUUUUUGCUAAGUCCUAAAUUAAGGUAUGGGUUCAAUUAUAGACAAGGUUAAGCUUACUUUUUAAAAAGUCUAACAUCACAAGUAAAUGGUUCACAAGUAAAUGGUCUUAAAACUAUAAAGAAACCAGGAUUGAAGCUCAAAAAUUAUCACCACUACACCCUUUUUUCGUGGUGCAACAAAUUUGGCCUAAAUCAAACGCAAAUCAAACGCAUUUAUACAAGACAAAUGACAGUCUUAAUAUAGGAUUACCCCAUUUUGGUUCAACCAUGAACACUGUUUGAACUAUGCGAUAGUUUCUUUACUAAAAUAUACUUCAGACUCUGGAACUGGAAGGACUAUGGGCCACUUAAAUGCAGCAUAUAUCUUGCAAUUUGAGCUCGAUAAUGGCAAAUUCCAAAUGCAAUCUAUCCACACAUUACACUCAAGUGCGAAAGAAUGAUCCAUGUAUUUUAAGGGUUUUGGUUCCUGGCAUGUGUACAUCAGGGAGUACUUAUAUAACAUACUGAUUUUGGAUCGUUGGAUGAUAUAUGCAUCUAACGGACAUAAUUAUAAAAAAAAUUCGUCAUGCUCAAUUUUUUUUUAUUUGUUUUUUUGCAUAUGAUAUGUAACUUGAAUAAUAAGAGGAAGGGGGAAAGUGAUGCAACUGCAAUUGAAGAAGUCAGUAGUCACUUAUUUAAAUUUCAAAGUACAAAGCCCAAAUAAGCAAUUUCCAAAGAGCUAAGCAAUGAAGGGCCAAGAAAUGGCUAGCUACUGCUAAAGAAAGCAAGUCCUCAUUCCUUGAUCAGAAGAGAUAAGGCAACCGCUCUCAUGCCACGUGUCAACUCAAUAAGAGUGUUUAAUGAUAAGGCAACCAAUCCAAAUUGCUCACACUGUGUGGCUACCAUGUUGCCUUGUCAACUUCACUGUAAUUCAAUGGUCAGAAAAAUUCUGAACUUUAGGAGGUGAAUUGGGAACCAUUGGAUCAGCAGGUUAAACGAUAAUGAGAUGAAAUGCCUAUAUAUUGGAUAGGUGAAGGAACAGAAGCAAGCCUCUCAAACACAAGAGAAGAAAGUAAAAGAACAAGAAGAGAGUAUUAGUACUCAUGGCUUCUUCAAUGAUAUCAUCAGUAGCACCGGUUACCCGUGCAUCCCCUGCUCAGGCUAACAUGGUCGCGCCUUUCACCGGCCUCAAGUCCAUCGCAUCAUUCCCCGUCACCCGAAAGCUUGAGAAUGACAUUACCUCUAUUACCAGCAACGGAGGAAGAGUUCAAUGCAUGAAGGUAUAUAUCUAUACUACUUAAUACUCAGAUAUAUUAUGUGCUAAUGAGGAACCAGUAUAACAUGGCAGAACAUUUCUUAGUUAGUUAUUGCUCAUUUGCUCUCAAAGUAGCACAAUUCUAAGUCAGAUAAAGCAGUCCUAGGUAACUUUAGAGUGAGUAACUUCAGAAUUUUCCUUGAAUAUGUCAAUAAUAUACAAAAAUUAUGUCAACACCUCGAUUAAAAGAUUGUUUUGCUUGUAUUUUCCUCCUGAGCUGAUCUGAGAAAUUUUGUUCUCAAGUCAAACAAUUAGAGACUUUAGCUCAAGAGAAAUGUCACCCCCUGGCAUUGUAGCCUGCGGGAUGUCCUCUAUAUUUUACCAUAGUAACCAUGUCGCCCCUCAAGUGAAGUAGAAUUUAAUUCAAUAAUGAAAUUGAACUACCCAGUAGAGGAAAUUUCUAGUUUUUUUGUAUAAUUUCCACCUUAGCUUGCUCUUAGUAACCCCCCUCAGUCUCAUUAAAUAGUCGGAAAUGUAUAUUCUUAUGAAGACAUGAUCACGUUCUUCAAAUUUUGCAAUCCAACACUGUUUCUAGACAAAUAUACAAUCUGUCGGUUUGUAAUUGAGUAAAUAUGACAUUCACAAAAUAUAUCAAGGAGAACACACCUUGGUUCUGAAAGUGAAUGAUAAAUUAGUUAGGUAACAUAUGUGAAUGGUGCAAGUGCAGGUAUGGCCACCAAUUAACAUGAAGAAGUUCGAGACACUCUCAUACCUUCCUCCUCUCACCACCGAACAAUUGGCAAAGGAGGUCGACUACCUUCUCCGUUCCGGAUGGGUUCCUCGUCUGGAAUUCGAGUUGGAGGUAAGCACUUUCUUCCUACAUAUUUUUCAUGUUCUCUGUUACAUGUUUCUUGACAUUGCUGAUGACAAUUGUGUGUUAAACCAAUAUGCAGCACGGUUUCGUGUACCGUGAGCACAACAAAUCUCCCGGAUACUAUGACGGACGAUACUGGGUUAUGUGGAAGCUUCCCAUGUUCGGGUGCACCGACUCAUCGCAGGUGUUGAAGGAGCUUGAUGAGUGCGUCAAGGAGUACCCCCAGGCGUACGUCCGUAUCAUCGGAUUCGACAACGUUCGCCAAGUCCAGUGCAUCAGUUUCAUUGCUCACCAGCCAGAAUGCUGAUCAAUCUGUCUGUUGAUUUCAUAUAUUUAUCAAUCUUGUUCGGCUCAUAUAUAAACUUCUUGCAAUCUCAUUUCAUUUCUUUCCGUUUUAAAUUUCUUACUUGUAUCUCCAACACAAGGAAAUUGGAACUAUAGAGGAUUAUAUGUAGCGAUUGUUGGUGAUUAUAUAUAUCUACUUGUUUGUUUUCCCUGCACCUUCUAAAUACUUGCAUCAUAUGCUUUCAUGUCGUGAUGUACUUUUUUAUAUAUCUCCGAUUCUCCAUGCAGUAAUUAACCACUACGGUCUUUUUACACCAACAAAUUAUAUGAUAACAUAUAGAAACAGUUCAUUGCUUCCGUAAUAUCUGCCUUGGUACAUGUUCUCUUGUAUCACUACAAAACCUUUCACGUCCAACAAUGUGAAAGCAAAUUCUCUGUAAUAGAAAUGGACAUCUGCUAGCGACAUUUCAGAUAAUAAUAAAGUGUACUUAUGCACCAUCUGGUUGGAAGGAAUGAACGGGAAAAACAUGAACAAAAUCAAAGGUAAACGAGAAGUAUACAAGAGUGAAGAGUGAUGAAGAACUAGAAAGUGCAGACUUUAUUAUGAGUUUCACAAUAUAAUGAGUAAAAUAUAGGAAUGAUCAUUUAUCCCUAUAUUGGUAAGAUUGAGAUAUUAGUUUUUUUUUGUGUGCCAAACUAGUACAAAUUUCAUUUCAUUCUCCCUAAACGUAAUUCUUCCAACAAAAUGGGGCAUUACAUAAAGGUAUAAAGAUGAGGAGAUUAAAGAUUGACAGCUGCGAUAAGGGAAGGUAUGGAAAACAUGUGUAACUAUAUAAAUGUCGAACACCAAUAAGAUCCAAAUAACUCAGAUAACAUCCAAACUCAGUAACAAAUUGGUUAACAGAUAAAAUUCAGAAGCGAAUGCAAAAUAGUUUAUAAAAUUAGAUUCUAAGAUUCAAAAUUUCUAGUAUUCAGAUUAUAUGCAGAUGAAAGAGGAAGGGAGAUUUAUUGAAUAAUUUAGGCUUGACAAAACACAAUAAAAUGAUACACAUAGACUAGUAUACUCUAAUACUUAAUGAGCAGCAUAUAUUCUUAUUCUUAACUACCGUCUAUUCUAUUAUAUCAAAGAAACAUAAAUUAUUGCAAAGCUGUAAAUUCACAUUAAGAAGCUUAAACAAAUUACACAACUAGAAAUCAACCACUCAAAUUGGAUAUAAUUGGAUAAAUAUCUAAAGAGAUCAUAACUAAGAACCCUAAUUUCAAAGUUAUAAAUGUAUGUAUAUAAAUGAUUCAAAAAUCAGAACUCUGUAACACAAAAAAGCUAGCUGAACUGAGAUGAAGUAGAAAGCAGCAACAAAACAUUUAUGAAUUAAAUAUCUAAAGCUGAUCUAAUUACAAACAUCAACUCACAGUUAUCAAGAGGGGUGUAUUGGAUUGGGAUUUUAAAUCAUUUUUUUGCAUUCAUGAAAUCCGAGGGUAUUCGAUUGAGAUUAUUUGAAAUGCAUUAAAAUCUUGGGGUAUUCAAUUGGGAUUUUGAAUUAUGCUACAAAAUCUGGUGGUAUUCAAUUGGGAUUUUAAAUUAUGCUUUAAAAUCCGGUGGUAUUCAAUUCGGAUUGUUUAAAAUCCAUUAAAAUCUGAUGGUAUUCAAAUGUUGUCGGAUUUUUUUUCAUUUCAUAAAAUGGUGGAUUUUGUGGCAUUGUUCGAUGUAUUUUAAGUUUUAUGAAAUCCCACCAAAAUCAAUGGGAUUUUGAAGCAUUGUGCUUAAAUCCUAUCAACUCUGCGACAUUUCAUCAAGAAUCCGCACAAAAUCAAAAACACAUGCAAUCCAUUAAAAUCCAUAGACUAAAAACAAUCCAUUAAAAUCUCAAUCGAAUACACCCCCGCAAUUUAUUAAUCAGAUGAGAGGAAGGAAGGGAGAGGGUCAGAGGGAGAGGGAGAGGGAGAGAGAGAGAGAGAGAGGAGUUACAGUGCUACGGCGACGUUCAGCGGCGAUGGAGAAGCCAAAAGCGACCAAGCAUAGUAUUAUUACAAGAAGAUGAACGAGAGAUGAGCCUUUCCCUGCCCCCAUUAUUGUUUCUAAGGGCAUCUUUGAUCACAAUUUCAAGCUUCAUAUUUUUUUCACUUUUAAUUUUAUAGAUAGAUUAAUCAAUCUCCAAUCAUCCAUUUAUCUUCCUAUGUAAAGUCAUUUACUAGAUAAAUUAUAUUAUUUUAUAAAAAAAAAUUAAAUAACGAAAUAUAUGAUCUUUCUCGGAUGAAGAUAACUUGCAAAUUUAAUGGUAUAGUUUAGAAAUUGGGGUUGAGAAGUACCAGUAGUUAUGCUAUAUUUACCUGAUGAUCUCGUAUCGUAACUUUUUUUACACGUGGGAUUUUUUUGCUUACAGCUCAUACUCUAUAACACACUUCCGCCAUUUCACAUGUGACUUCAUCUUUUGACCAGGGUUCUGUAAAUAGAAUUUUGAGCAAGAUCCCCUUAAUACAUAACUGAAUAAACAACACUCGUAGAGAUGAAUUCUGCUGGCGGAACUAGGGAAGAAACCCUAGCUUAGUCAAAGUUUUUUUUUUCUUCCAGAUAUUUGUUUUUUUUCAGAUAUUUUUUUAUUUGAGCUCUUAAAAAUAACAGUGAACCAAUAAAAAGUAUUUAUUGUGCAAAUUUUAAUUCUAGAUUAUUUUGAUUCAUGUCAUAUUGUCAUUGACUAACAGGCCAAAGUCAUUUUGUUAAUGGGCUCUAUUUUCUUGACCAAAAUCAUACUGUUUCCCCUACUAUUAUCCUGAGCCCAUGUUUUCAAAUUUCAAUUACGCCCAACCACCAGUCCAGAGUAGUUGUUGUUGGGCCACAAGGUAACCAUCCAAUGUCUAAACUAAUCAUAGUCCAAAUAAAAUUUUUUCAUAAAAACUGCGUGUACGUGAAUCCAGGGCAGAGGACUGAACAUGACUCCACUUGAGUUGAGCAAGAAAACCGCAAUCAUAUAUCUUUGAUUUUUAAAAUUGAAAACCGCAACCGUCAAUCGGGGUCGGUUUCGGUUUCGGUUUAAGAAACUUCGAUUCGGUUAAUAGUCGGCUCGGUUUCGAUUACAAAAUCGACAAAUAUAAGAAUGAAAAAUAGUACACAAACGAGACAAAUUAAUGCACGUAAUCUAGACAUAAUAAUUAAUAUAAUAUUAAAAUUUAACAAAAGUAACCGUAUUUUAUUUAAAACACUCUUGCCAGUAAUAUAAAACUAGUCUUAGUCAGAAUUUUCAUACAGAAUACGAAUCAGAACUUCCGGCUGAUUGGCUUUUUUAACACAUGCUUCAUGAAGAUUGAGAAAAUGUGACAGGGAAAAUAGGAAAUACAGAUUGGCAGUGGCCAGUCAGCAUGAGAUAUUCACUGAACAUCAAAUAUUAACAUAGACGGAUGUUUCUGUAAGUGUUAGAAUAGAUUUAUUAUAUUUAUUACAUAUUACAUAUAUUAUUUAUUAUUAUUUUAAUAACCGGUUCCGUUUGGUUUUUAUUGGUUCGGUUGGGAGGUAUAACCGGAACCAAACCGUUUAAAUCAGAUCAAUUUUUAAUUUUUCGGUUUCUAAUUGGUUUUUUUGAGUUUUUCCAAAUUUCGAUUCGUUUUGAUUUUAAAUCGGUUUUUUGCUAAGUCCUAAAUUAAGGUAUGGGUUCAAUUAUAGACAAGGUUAAGCUUACUUUUUAAAAAGUCUAACAUCACAAGUAAAUGGUUCACAAGUAAAUGGUCUUAAAACUAUAAAGAAACCAGGAUUGAAGCUCAAAAAUUAUCACCACUACACCCUUUUUUCGUGGUGCAACAAAUUUGGCCUAAAUCAAACGCAAAUCAAACGCAUUUAUACAAGACAAAUGACAGUCUUAAUAUAGGAUUACCCCAUUUUGGUUCAACCAUGAACACUGUUUGAACUAUGCGAUAGUUUCUUUACUAAAAUAUACUUCAGACUCUGGAACUGGAAGGACUAUGGGCCACUUAAAUGCAGCAUAUAUCUUGCAAUUUGAGCUCGAUAAUGGCAAAUUCCAAAUGCAAUCUAUCCACACAUUACACUCAAGUGCGAAAGAAUGAUCCAUGUAUUUUAAGGGUUUUGGUUCCUGGCAUGUGUACAUCAGGGAGUACUUAUAUAACAUACUGAUUUUGGAUCGUUGGAUGAUAUAUGCAUCUAACGGACAUAAUUAUAAAAAAAAUUCGUCAUGCUCAAUUUUUUUUUAUUUGUUUUUUUGCAUAUGAUAUGUAACUUGAAUAAUAAGAGGAAGGGGGAAAGUGAUGCAACUGCAAUUGAAGAAGUCAGUAGUCACUUAUUUAAAUUUCAAAGUACAAAGCCCAAAUAAGCAAUUUCCAAAGAGCUAAGCAAUGAAGGGCCAAGAAAUGGCUAGCUACUGCUAAAGAAAGCAAGUCCUCAUUCCUUGAUCAGAAGAGAUAAGGCAACCGCUCUCAUGCCACGUGUCAACUCAAUAAGAGUGUUUAAUGAUAAGGCAACCAAUCCAAAUUGCUCACACUGUGUGGCUACCAUGUUGCCUUGUCAACUUCACUGUAAUUCAAUGGUCAGAAAAAUUCUGAACUUUAGGAGGUGAAUUGGGAACCAUUGGAUCAGCAGGUUAAACGAUAAUGAGAUGAAAUGCCUAUAUAUUGGAUAGGUGAAGGAACAGAAGCAAGCCUCUCAAACACAAGAGAAGAAAGUAAAAGAACAAGAAGAGAGUAUUAGUACUCAUGGCUUCUUCAAUGAUAUCAUCAGUAGCACCGGUUACCCGUGCAUCCCCUGCUCAGGCUAACAUGGUCGCGCCUUUCACCGGCCUCAAGUCCAUCGCAUCAUUCCCCGUCACCCGAAAGCUUGAGAAUGACAUUACCUCUAUUACCAGCAACGGAGGAAGAGUUCAAUGCAUGAAGGUAUAUAUCUAUACUACUUAAUACUCAGAUAUAUUAUGUGCUAAUGAGGAACCAGUAUAACAUGGCAGAACAUUUCUUAGUGAGUUAUUGCUUUCAAAGUAGCACAAUUUUAAGUCAGAUAAAGUAGUCCUAGGUAACUUUAGAGUGAGCAUAACUUUGGAAUUUUCCUUGAAUAUGUAAAUAAUUUACAAAUAUUAUGUCAACACUUCAAAUAAAAGAUGGUUUUGCUUGUAUUUUCCUCCCGAUCUGAUCUGAGAAAUUUUGUUGUCAAGUCAAACAAUUAGAUACUUUAGCUCAAGAGAAAUGUCACUCCCUGGCAAUCCUGGGGGAUAACUUCUAUAUUUUACCAUAGUAACAGGAGUUUGAGAGUCCAAGAUUCGCAGAAAACAUGUGUGUGUCAAUGUGUGAAAGCCUAAUCAUGUCGCCCCUCAAGUGAAGUAGAUUUUAAUUCAAAAUAGAGAUGUGUGAGAACCUAAUCAUGUCCAAGUUUUUUGUAUGAUUUUCACCUUAGCUUGCUCUCAGUAACCCCUCUCUUAGUCUCAUUAAACAGUGACUCUGAAAUGUAUAUUCUUUUAAAGACAUGAUCACGUUCUUCAAAUUUUGCAAUCCAACACUUUUUGUCAAAAAAUAUACUACAAUCUGUCGGUUUCUAAUCGAGUAAAUAUGACAUUCACAAAGUAUAUCACUGAGAACACACCAUGGUGUGAGAGUGAAUAAGAAAUUAGUUAGCUAACAUAUGUGAAUGGUGCAAGCGCAGGUAUGGCCACCAAUUAACAUGAAGAAGUUCGAGACACUCUCGUACCUUCCUCCUCUCACCACCGAACAAUUGGCAAAGGAGGUCGACUACCUUCUCCGUUCCGGAUGGGUUCCUUGUCUGGAAUUCGAGUUGGAGGUAACCACUUUCUUCCUACACAUUUUUCAUGUUCUCUGUUACAUGUUUCUUGACAUUGCUGAUGACAAUUGUGUGUUAAACCAAAAUGUAGCACGGUUUCGUGUACCGUGAGCACAACAAAUCCCCCGGAUACUAUGACGGACGAUACUGGGUUAUGUGGAAGCUUCCCAUGUUCGGGUGCACCGACUCAUCGCAGGUGUUGAAGGAGCUUGAUGAGUGCGUCAAGGAGUACCCCCAGGCCUACGUCCGUAUCAUCGGAUUCGACAACGUUCGCCAAGUCCAGUGCAUCAGUUUCAUUGCUCACCAGCCUGAAUGCUGAUCAAUCUGCUGAUUUCAUAUAUUUAUCUAUCUUGUUCGGCUCAUAUAUAAACCUCUUGCAAUUUCAUUUCAUUCCUUUCAGUUUUAUGUUUCUCAAUAACACCCACAAUAUCUCCAACACAAGGAAAUUUUAACUACGAGGAUUAUAUGUAGCGAUUGUUGGUGAUUAUUUAUAUCUACUUGUUUUUCCUGCACCUCUAAAUAUUUGUGUCAUACAUUUUAUCUCCAGCACAGGAAAUUUGAAAUAUGAAGGAUUAUUAUGUAGCGAUUGUUGGUGAUUAUAUAUAUCUAGUUGUUUGUUUUCCCUGCGUCUUCUAAAUAUUUGUGUCACAUAUUUUCGUAUCAUGACAUGCUUGCGGAACUCUGAUUCUCCAUGCAGUUAUUGAGCUACAAGCACUCCAUUAAAAUAACAAGAAACCAUCUACAAGGAGCUUUAGUCUUUAGGUGAACAAAAGGACUAUCUCUCAACUGUA